rnacentral:misc_RNA from 1 species
GAAAUGCGAUAAGUAAUGUGAAUUGCAGAAUUCAGUGAAUCAUCGAAUCUUUGAACGCACCUUGCGCUCCUUGGUAUUCCUUGGAGCAUGCCUGUUUGAGUAUCAUGAAAUCUUCAAAGUAAAUCUUUUGUUAACUCAAUUGGUUUCUACUUUGGUAUUGGAGGUCUUUGCAGCUUCACACCUGCUCCUCUUUGUUCAUUAGCUGGAUCUCAGUGUUAUGCUUGGUUCCACUCGGCGUGAUAAGUUAUCUAUCGCUGAGGACACUGUAAAAGGUGGCCAAGGUAAAUGCAGAUGAACCGCUUCUAAUAGUCCAUUGACUUGGACAAUACUAUUAUGAUCUAAUCUCAAAUCAGGUAGGACUACCCGCUGAACUUAAGC